AGCCUCUAACCCUAGCAGCUUUACCCUGAGUAGAGUUUGGUGCCUAGCUAUGGGAGAGGCUGGGAGCUGAAUCUUCGUCUGUUGAUUAAUUUGCUCUGUGGAUGGUCCUGCCAGUUUCCAGGUGACAAAGUAGAAGUGUUGAGUUCUGGCGUGACUUGGAGAGCUGACCCUCGAGCUUGACGCAAGAAGAUGCUGUUUGUGCUGGCAGUGGGAGAGCUCUGUGUCACAGGAAUGCGAAGCCAUCACGAAGGUCCAGUCGCAAUCCUUGCCGUUAUUCCAGAAAGCCUUCCAGUUGUUGUCUGACAGACAAGAGUUGGCAAAAAAAGGUGUGUGUGGUAGAGUGCACAAGGGUUUGCCGCCCCGCUGUGUUGUGCUGCUUGGCAGCCUCCUUGCACACCUGCUGGUGGAGCAUGGCAUCAGCACUUGAUCUCAACCUCUGCCUCCAAAGCACUGGACCAAGGAUGAUUUGGCAGUGGGUAAUGUGCUGGUGCUGUGGAGGGGUUUUCACCUUCUCUGCACCUUGCCACCGCUGCGAUAAGACCGAUAGGGUGGCCACUCCUCACUGCUCCCACUGAGCAACUGUGCUAAAACAGGGCUGCUCCUAAUUUUCAAGCAUCUGACCUUGGAGAAGAAGCCCUCGUUGGCCUCUCUUACAAAGAUAAUGCAAAUCUAAUCGUACUACUCUAAACAUCUUAUCAAUUUCUCCAUACCGUGGCCUCUAGCUGUUGGGUCUUUAAGACGUGGCACGUGCAGGCCAUUCUGGUUCCUCGCUGCGGUGAUACGAUGAUGAGCCAGGCUGAAGUAACAGGAAGUUCCACUUCAUUACAGCAGUAUUUGUCACCAUUAGCGCUCAGCAGGGAAAAAAACAAUGUAUGUGCCGCCUAACUUUCAGAAGGGUGCAUUCGUGUCUUCCUCUUGAGCAAAAACACAGUAGGGAGAUGGAAGGAGCUCGCUAACCAGCACAGGGCCAGCCAGUGUGCGGAGGAAGAAGUGACCGUGCUCUUUUGGCCAGUGGGUCCCUGCCUCCUGCUGGGCAAAAUGCUCGUCCUUCUUUUCUCCAAGCGCUUGAACCCUUGGUGAGCAGAUGCGUGGCUGGAGCUGAGGAGUCUUUCCCAGGCAUCAAUAUCAAGCUCCUUGGACUUGAAAUGAUAGCGGAGGUGUUGGCACGGGCUCCUGUCUGGCACUCGCUCCCACCAGCAUUAAAUCGACUGCUGAGAGAAAAUGAUUGCUCGGUUCCCAAGUAAAUGUCAGUAAAUCUUAGAAAUGAAAAGGAGCAUCAUGAUGGGAAUAAUUCUCUUUUUCUUCUGAAAGCCUGUGCAUGAGAGGGGAAAAAGGAACAAAAAGAUUUCUCCAGCCACACUUGCUGCAGUUAAUAGCAAUGCCGUCUUGCCAGGAACAUCAAAUGGAGGAACAAAACUACUGGGUUUUGACAGCAAGAGAAAACACGUGGGCAGCUCUGGGCUUGUCCCAGGGCCAGGAGCCCAGAGGGAGCCUGAAGGAGCACAGCACUGCAUUUUUGGCACUCUCCUGCUAGUUUAGCAGCUGCUAAAGAGACAGAAACAGGCGCAUGCCUCCUUGAAAAGAGGUGCCUUGACAAAGAAAAAAGAGCUCUCGCCUGCCCCAAAAACCUCUGACCCUGGCGAUUAGUUCCCUGGGUGCUGGCACUGGAGCAGGCGAAUGGAGAGGAGAUGCUCUGCUCUUCCCUUAGAUCAGUCUGUUUAUGCCCAGCUAAGCACAGGUCGGAAGAAGAGGCUUCAAAUGUAGAUGCCUGCAUUUGCAUUCCUCCUCAUCAUUCAGGUUUGUGUUGAGGGAUGAAGACUAAUGUGUUACGACAUGCCUUUGGGGAAGAGGAUGCUCCUGCUUGGUGCAAGCACAGCAAGUGCUUCUCUGCAAUAUAUGGGAGAGCUUGAAUCUUCUGAGGUGUUUAAAGAGCAUCGCGAGAGGUGAUCGUGCUUGUCUUUGGCAAAGGGGUCAGUUUGAGAAAUUCCCUUUCCCACUCUUCCUCCCUGGUGUGCUGCUGUUUGCCAGCCCUUUGACCAAGGUGGUGCAACUGACCCUGCUGCUGAAGCCAGUCACGUAAUUACUGUCUUGAAGUCCAGAAAAAGUAGCAACAUUCAGUGGAAGUUCUUAAAAACCCUGGUAUAAUUGCAUCAGCCUUUUCUGCAGGAAGCCUCCCUCUGGAUGGCGUGCCCUGCUUGCAGGCGGCGUGCUGUGGGCUGCCUGGGUGUGGAGCACAAAGCAGCCAGCCCCAGUACAGCACUCCAGGGUGCUUCUGGCAGGGGAUAUUUAGGUUCCUCGCGUCCUCUGGAUCGCCUUGUAGGCAAGGGCUCUAUGCAGAGGCUCUAAAGCCUAGAGAGACAAGGCUCCUCCACCAAAGGCUCACCCCUGUCUACCCACCCCAGCACUGGAAAGCCGCAUGCUUAAAACUGUGACACCCAUGCAGUAGAAAAGCAGAACGCUGGAGGAUGCUAGUGCCCCUUUGCUGUUCUUGAGCUGGGCAGCUCCAUUAUUUCAUUUGAUCAGUAAUCCAGCCAUAAAUCUUGAUCUCUUCUGUCCAGAUUUUCAAGGCAGCAUGACCCAAACCCCAAAGAGGUCCUGCUGUCACUCACAGCCCUGCCUGCCCCCAUGCUGACAAACUCCAAAACAUAUCAGCAGGUUGGCUGCUGGCAUAUGUCUCUCCACGACUCAUCUUUCCAAAGGCAAAGUGAUUGAUCCUUUAAGCAGGGGUUCGCUAAUCAAAUUCAUUUAUUCAGGCACUGCCCUGCUGCAUGCUCUGAAAGAGCAGAGCUGCCUUUCCAAACAUAUUUUUCAAAGCUCCUUAACAACUUAAGAGCAGCGGUCUGCAGGAGAGAGAGGGAAAGCAUAUCAUUUAGAAACAGAGGGUGCAGUGAUUUUUUGUUGCUGAUGUGGCAUCGUAUGAGGUCAGGGCUAGAUGGAUGAGCUCCAAAUGCUAUCUUGGUGCAUUGAGUAUGCAGCCACUUUGCCAGAGGUGACAUAAUGUUGGACAUUUGGUCUCAGUCCAAAGUGAUAUUGACAUGCCACGAUGACAGACAACUUGGUGAAAUGUCCUCCACGCCAAGCGGGGCUGUGGUUUUCCAGUGCGCAGGGCGCUUAUUGAAGGAAAAAGUCCCAACUAAUGCACAGCACCUCUGCUUCACUGCGAUCUCCCAUGAGGUUAGCGUUGCUUAUAGCAAGAUGGAUGAGCUUGAAGAACACGCAGAGCUCCUUUCUCUACCGAAAAAUGAAGACAGCCCCUCAUUUAUGCUCCGUAGGAUCUCUGUCAGUGUUGAGUACUGUGCCUCUAUCAUCACCCUUACAUUGAGCUGCAAGGACUGGCUGGAGCUGCUUGAAUCACUCUUCCCAACUGCUUUGUAAAGGCACCUUUAAUAAAAACGAGACUUGAUCCUGAGGUGCUAGUUACUUAUCUCGGCCUAGCUGAAAACCCUUUGGGCUGGUUUUUGCCAUCAGCUGACCUUGGAUGGCGACUAGCAUUUAGUCUUUGAGGCUGUCUUUUCCUGCGUGAUAAGAUAAUCAUAACAGAGCCAGAGCUGACAAGUGGUGUUUUGAUGUAAGCAAUGAGCAAACAGACAGAUCAAUAAGUGCUGAGCAAGGCACGCUUCACCUCAUAUCGUAUCGACUUACUGCAAAAAUAAUGGGGCAACAAAAUGAAAAUGUGUUGUGUUCUAUCUGAGUUAUGGGCAGUGGUUAUAUAUAAUAAAACACAAUAUAUUAACUCAGAUGGGACUGGCUGUUGAAGAAAAUACAAAUGGGCAGACACGGAAUGUACUGUCUCUAGAUGUACACAGCAACACAUCGAGAUUAAUUACACAGAAUAGGGGAGGAAACGAAAGCAACAAUAAUUCUAUUAUUAUGGCCAUAGAAAAAAAUGUGAGAGAGAUUUACGGCACUAAGAGCAAAAUUUGUGUGUCCUGUUAGUCUGACUGUCUAAUGUGUGAAAGAUUUAUGAGUCCAGUGAGUAAUGAUCAAAAGUAUUUACAAAAGUUUACCAUUUGUUAGCUUUUAGUUUUGCUCUCGUGGAGGUUGUUUACAAGCAGCAGAAGGAUGACAUUGGGCUGACUGGCUGUCUGUGGGGCUUCUGCUGCAGGUUGCUUAUAAACAUUUUGAUUUCAGCAGCUCUGAUCCCCCAAAGCCAGGUGACAGCGCAGGCAGAAAGAGGCGCAAGACUACGCUGAAGUGGUCUUGAUGUGUUCAGAGGAAGCUUGGCUCGUGGAGGUGUAAGUUGAGGUGCACUGAGAUAGGAGGCACUUUCUUGUUCUAGAGCUGCUUUUUAUGCACCAGAAACUCCUGCUUUGCCUUCCCUUACCUCUGCUGAUUAGUCGUGUUGGGGACCCAUGGGAGAUUACAUCUGGAAGCUGGUGCGUAAUGCCUGUGCUUGGAGAAACGACGGACAGAGGAGGAAAGCAGAAUGCCUGUGAUAAUCAGGUUGUAGAGAGAGAAAGGUUAUAGAAAACAGCCGAAUGGGUACGCUGUUGGCCAUUUAUCGCCUUCGAAAUGGAUCGAGGGUAGCUAAACAAUAGGACAUUUCUCACAGCUGCGUGGGCACCUAUCUCAUCUCCCAGCUGCAAACAGCAAACUGCCUACUCAGGGCCCUAGCGAGACGUAGGGUGAUUAUGGCUGCUUGGUUAAUUGAGAUGUGAUAUGACAGAGAAUAUAAUUUACUUUGAUAAUAAUUAUCACUGACCCAGGUAGUUUUGCAAAGCUCAGGCAGAGUGCAGAGGUCUGCUCUGAUGGAUCGUCUCCUUCCAGGAAAGACUUCUGCAGCUCUGCAGCUUCGCGGGCACUCCUGGGUGUGCUGGAGAAUACAUUAAAAAGAAAGCAAACCCAGGUUAAUAUUCUCACAAAUACCCUG